UGCUCAUAUUGACAUUCCCACUCCUAGACCACCAGAAUAAUUUUCUCGUUUAAUAAAACGACCUGCAUUUCUUUCUUCAAUCUCUUUCUCCAGCGAUCAAGUCAGAAGUUUAGACCAACUAAAUCAAGAAUAAGCUUAGUAAUUUACUGGCGUUGUUGUUCAGGUCAGUAAGCAAUGCCAACCCAACAACUAAUAAAAACGAAUGUUUGUGAAGAUCAAGUGCACCCCAUCUACAUAUAGAGGAUUCAGCUGCAGCAGGCAGGGAUCCAUCUAAGAUGAAGAGAAAGGCUGGCGCUGCAGAUAGAUGACUUUUCCUUAAGAAAAUAAUGCUGUGCUGGAACAUGUUCACAAUGGAGACACACGGAGAGAGAGACACACAGAGAGAGAGACACAGGGAGAGAGACAGAGAGAAAGACAAGGAGAGCGAGAAAAAGGGGAGCGGGAUACAGAAUGGGGAGGUACACAGUGAAGAGAAUCGUAGGAGGUGACGGAAGCCGUUGGCACCAGCCAGUGCGGACCCGCAAAAGUCGAUGACGAAGCGAGCGUCCUCCGAAGCACAUCCGGUGCCAUUCCGCUUCUUAUCACGUUGCUCACUCAAC